rnacentral:rRNA from 1 species
CACGUAGGGGGCGAGCGUUGUCCGGAUUCAUUGGGCGUAAAGGGUGUGUAGGUGGCGCCGUAAGUCGGGUGUGAAAUCUCGGGGCUUAACUCCGAAACUGCAUUCGAUACUGCGGUGCUUGAGGACUGGAGAGGAGACUGGAAUUCAUGGUGUAGCAGUGAAAUGCGUAGAGAUCAUGAGGAAGACCAGUGGCGAAGGCGGGUCUCUGGACAGUUCCUGACACUGAGACACGAAGGCCAGGGGAGCAAACGGG